CAUAAAGCAGCAACACUUAUUUCUUUUCUCAAAGCAAGCAAGAACAGAACUGGUCAUCAAAGAAGUUGACGGGAUUCAUUCAUUCAGAUGGCCGCCGCGGUCGGUGUGCAGCGGCGCUUGCAGAAGUUAGUGAGGACGUCGACGCACCGGUAGACAGGCGCCUCGGUGGUGCUGGUGUACUUGACGCAGUUCAUGCACGCUGGGUGGCAACCCUGGAACGAGAUGUCCAGGCAACUGCAAUCUGGUGGAUUCUUCCUGUUGCAGAAGCCGCACUGGUUGCAGCACGGCCAGGAGCUCGCGUUCGCGGCGUCGUCAGCGACCGCCGCUCCUCCCUCCUCCCCGCUCCCUGCGGCCACCAAAGAUUAGUCGACGCAUCCAGUUGAGUUGAGUUGAGUGUCAAACUGUUAAUUUCUCACCUUUGCUGAGGAGUGGCAGAGUUGCGAGGACGGCGAGGACAGCCAGUGUGACGAGCAACACCUGAGGUCUCAUGCUUGUUUCUCUUGGUAUGUAGGAAUACAGGGUGUUGCCAGGUUUGUUGUGGUUGGACUUCCUUCCUACUGAUGGGUGAUGGUUAUCUGUAUGAGGCUAGAGGCCUUAUUAUAAGAGGAGGGGGUGCCAUGACAGCUGUGUGCCUGCCAAGUUAAGGCUAGCUUGGCACGGCUCUUGAACAAUGGCUUUAGCUCUAGCUUAUCUAAUGAUCUUGUAUGUUGGAGAAACAAUCUUUUAAGAUAGAUGGAAGAGGUCAAAUAUCCAAAAUACCCUUAUUUAUUUCCUUUCUUUUCUCUUUUCUUUUAAUUUCUUUUUCUUUCCCGGUCAUUUUUCUUCCUUUCUCAUUUUUUCCUUCACCAUUUAUUUUUCUUCCUUUCUUAUUUCCUCUUCCUUCUAUCCUUAUCUUCCUUUCCUCAGCUCCUGCAGAACGCCGCCCCUGCCUCUCAUGACCAUGGCCAUCACCCGCAGCUCUUCCGGCUCGACGUCCCUGCCUCCCCACUCCUCCAACUCGACGCCCUAUCUCCCCUAGCCCACUCCCUCUCCUCAGCCCGAGCGCCCAACAACCCCUUCCUCCCAGCACGUCCGGCCUCGCUUAGCAGUUUGUGCGGCACGCCUGCAGCGUCGCUUGUGCAUCCAACGUGCUCGCCCCGUCCCGCCGUGCUCCACCCACCGCCGGUCAGGUCAGCACCGGCGUUACUCCGUCCGUGCCACUGCACCAUCCGCCACCGCCCACCAACACAGUGGUUUCAAGAAAUUUCAAACAAUUUAAAUAUUUGAUAAAUGAUUUCAAAGUUGUUUCAAACUUUUACAAGUGAACAUAAAUGUUAUUUAGUGAAUGUAAAAAAUAUAAUUUCAUACAUAACACAGAUAUUUUGACUAGUUAGUUCACAUGUCCCUAUAGGUUGAAACACCUCAUGAGUUAUAGGGUGAUCAUGACUUGGAUAUCCAUUUGAGAAAAACGUACUGUUACAAUAUCUCAAAAUUAUGUUAAUAUUUUUUAAUCCAUGUUGGUUCACUGCUGAAGUGGUUACAUGCAAAAUAUCAUGAAAAACAUUCCCCCUUAUAUUUGAUGUUUUUGGAGCGUUCCCGAGCUAAUCUCGGUCAAGCUCCAAAUGGAAGGUUGACUAAGAUAGAAGAUGCCCGCGGUCUUAAAUGGGUACUUGCGUUGCCCGCCAGCACAGAGGCUAGUAUGCUUACGAGUUCUCCCCCGCAGGUCCAAGGAAGAUUUGUGCUGGUGGGUGCCAAUCAAACCCACCAGCACACUAAUUUACCUGUGUGAACACAAAUUAAAUCUGGCGUAGUGUUUUCUUAGUAUCUUUUGCUGUGGUGAGGCAUGUGAGUACUGCUGGCACGAUCAUCAGCUUGUCCUGGGCUGCUGCUAAGCAUGCACCACGAGCCAAAGGUUUUCGGGAUGCUCAGCUCAUAAGGAAUUGACUGAAAGUGACUGUUCGUUGUGUGAGCUAGCUGUCUCCACUGGUGGCUUCUGAAUUAUUGGUCCUAUAUACAUGCACCACGCGCAACAUAAGGGAAAAAAAGUCUGCAACAUGUGCGGCACUGGAUAAUUGAGCUAGCAAUAACAGUGUUGUACGCUUGUCUAUGAGGGAUGCAUGGUGCCUAACAAUCACAAUGAUCUAUACUGACUACUCCCUCCGUUCCAAAUUAUAAGUCAUUCCAAGAAUCUUGGAGAGUCAAAGCAUCUCAAGUUUGACCAAAAUUAUAGAAAAAAUUAUAAAGAUUCAUAACAUUAAAUAGUUAUACUAUGAAACUAUAAUUGAUGAAGAAUCUAAUGAUACUUUGUUGACAUCACAAAUGUUAUUAUAUUAUCAUAUAAAUUUAGUCAAACUUGAGAUACUUUGACUCUCCAAGAUUCUUAAAAUGACUUAUAAUUUGGGAUGAAGGGAGUACAUCAUAGCUUGUCUGCUUGCCUAGUGCGCGUGAACCAUGAGGGCAGGACUAGUGGCUGCACACUACUCCACGAGGGUAGGACUGGUGGCUGUGCAUCGACAGAAUUCACUAUUCGACACUAAAAAAACUAAUCGUGACACUAAACAAAUUUUGGUUCCCGUUUGAUACUGAGUUCAAUUUUCAUUCUUUAUAUAACAUUCUGUUGGAUUUUUCAUAUGAGAACCAUUAAAUGCCCGAUGAAAAGACGAUUUUGCCCUUGUGAGCCCCACCACCCUUCUCCGAUCUACUCACCUUCUCCAUCCGCUCUAUUGUACCUCCCCCACUGCUCCAUCCAUCCUCCUUAUUUAUUUCCAAGAUACCCUUAUUUAUUUCCUUUCUUUUCUCUUUUCUUUUAAUUUCUUUUUCUUUCCCGGUCAUUUUUCUUCCUUUCUCAUUUUUUCCUUCACCAUUUAUUUUUCUUCCUUUCUUAUUUCCUCUUCCUUCUGUCCUUAUCUUCCUUUCCUCAGCUCCUGCAGAACGCCGCCCCUGCCUCUCAUGACCAUGGCCAUCACCCGCAGCUCUUCCGGCUCGACGUCCCUGCCUCCCCACUCCUCCAACUCGACGCCCUAUCUCCCCUAGACCACUCCUUCUCCUCAGGCCCGAGCGCCCAACAACCCCUUCCUCCCGGCACGUCCGGCCUCGCACCUCCGGUCCACUUAGCAGUUUGUGCGGCAUGCCUGCAGCGUCGCUUGUGCAUCCAACGUGCUCGCCCCGUCCCGCCGUGCUCCACCCACUGUCGGUCAGGUCAGCACUGGCGUUACUCCGGCCGUGCCACUGCACCGUCCACCACCGCCCACCAACACAGUGGUUUCAAGAAAUUUCAAACAAUUUAAAUAUUUGAUAAAUGAUUUCAAAGUUGUUUCAAACUUUUACAAGUGAACAUAAAUGUUAUUUAGUGAAUGUAAAAAAUAUAAUUUCAUACAUAACACAGAUAUUUUGACUAGUUAGUUCACAUGUCCCUAUAGGUUGAAACACCUCAUGAGUUAUAGGGUGAUCAUGACUUGGAUAUCCAUUUGGGAAAACGUACUGUUACAAUAUCUCAAAAUUAUGUUAAUAUUUUUUAAUCCAUGUUGGUUCACUGCUGAAGUGGUUACAUGCAAAAUAUCAUGAAAAACAUUCCCCCUUAUAUUUGAUGGUUUUGGAGCGUUUCCCGAGCUCCUCUCGGUCAAGCUCCAAAUGGAAGGUUGACUAAGUUAGAAGAUGCCCGCGGUCUUAAAUGGGUACAUGCGUUGCCCGCCAGCACAGAGGCUACUAUGCUGACGAGUGGUCCCCCGCAGGUCCAAGGAAGAUUUGUGCUGGCGGGUACCAAUCAAACCCGCUAGCACGCUAAUUUACCAAUGUGAACACAAAUUAAAUCUGGCGUAGUGUUUUCUUAGUGUCUUUUGCUGUGGUGAGGCAUGUGAGUACUGCUGGCACGAUCAUCAGCUUGUCCUGGGCUGCUGCUAAGCAUGCACCACGAGCCAAAGGUUUUCUGGAUGCUCUGAAAGUGACUGUUCGUUGUGUGAGCUAGCUGUCUCCACUGGCGGCUUCAGAAUUAUUGGUCCUAUACACAUGCACCACGCGCAACAUAAGGGAAAAAAAGUCUGCAACAUGUGCGGCACUGGAUAAUUGAGCUAGCAAUAACAGUGUUGUACGCUUGUCUACGAGGGAUGCAUGGUGCCUGACAAUCACAAUGAUCUAUACUGACUACUCCCUCCGUUCCAAAUUAUAAGUCAUUCCAAGAAUCUUGGAGAGUCAAAGCAUCUCAAGUUUAACCAAAAUUAUAGAGAAAAUUAUAAAGAUUCAUAACAUUAAAUAGGUAUACUAUGAAACUAUAAUUGAUGAAGAAUCUAAUGAUACUUAGUUGACAUCAUAAAUAUAAUUAUAUUAUCAUAUAAAUUUGGUCAAACUUGAGAUACUUUGACUCUUCAAGAUUCUUGGAAUGACUUAUAAUUUGGGAUGAAGGGAGUACAUCAUAGCUUGUCUGCUUGCCUAGUGCGCAUGAACCAUGAGGGCAGGACUAGUGGACGCACACUACUCCACGAGGGCAGGACCGGUGGCCGUGCACCGACAGCAUUCACUAUUCGACACUAAAAAAUCUAAUCGUGACACUAAACAAAUUUUUGUUCCCAUUUGAUACUGAGUUCAAUUUUCAUUCUUUAUAUAACAUAUGAGAACCAUUAAAUGCUUGAUGAAAACACGGUUUUGCCCUUGUGAGCCCCACCACCCUUCUCCGAUCUACUUACCUUCUCCAUCCGCUCUAUUGUACCUCCCCCACUGCUCCAUCCAUCCUCAUGUCCAGGUGAGAGCUUAGGCACCAGGAGCUCACUACAGUUCUAUUUGUGUGGUUAUUGUCAUCGAGGAUGGUCGGGACAGUGGAGCUCCAAGGGAGGGGGGUCAUGGCAGGCUGAUGGCUCGAGUCACCAAGGAAAGGAUGAUUCCCGGCGGGGUUGAGCUCGUCCUAGCCAACAAGCAGGUCGGGGAGGUCGAGCGCAAGGUGAGGGAGGUUUGGGUGCGACGGAUUGGGUUUUGGCAGAGGUGGUGAGAAUUUGGCUGGCGAUGAGGUUCGGUGGCUGGUGGCAGUCGCAAGACAUGGAAUUCCCAGCACUAAGUAGUUUGUGAUUGGGCUGGAACUAGCCUGGUGUCGGGGAUACAUCCCCAAUACCCGCAAGGAAGGAAGAAGUCAGACUCCUACUAGGAUUCCCUUGUAAUCCGACUAGGACUCAUACCGUGUACUCCUACUAGGACUCCUCCUUGUAAUCCGACUAGUACUCUGCCCCCUGGAGUAUAUAAAGGAGGGUAAGGGUACCUAGCUCGGUAGGUCACACCUCAACACCCAAGCGUAGGGCGCAGUAUACAAAUACCCCCAAACAGGACGUAGGGUAUUACGCUACUCCGGCGGCCCGAACCUAUCUAAAUCCGUGUCUUGUGUCCUCGCUUUUACCUUCAAGUUCCAGGUCCGGCGAUCCCCCACUACACAUUCUGCUACCUCGGGUACCCCUUGGUAGACGGCCGAUAUAAAUCACCGACAUUGGCGCCCACCGUGGGGCAGCUCGUCGAGAUCAUCAGGCGAGCUUGAAGGACCUCAUCUUCAAGCCGGCGUUCGCUUUCAAAGCGGGCACAACCUUCGUCUUCGACUCCUGACUUUGCAUCACCGACGGCACUGGGUCCUUCCAAUGCUGCAUCAUCGACAACCAGGAGAAGAAGCGCCUCGACGGGAACUCUCUUCCACAAGAAGCAGAAAAUCUCAUUGAGAAAAUCGACAAAUUAAACCUUGGAUCAAGGUUCGACUGCAAACUCGUACUCCAACGGCGACUUCGGGUUCGACCAUGAUUCGAACUCGAACUCCGACGGCGACUACGGGUCUGACUACAACGCGGAGUCCGACAGCGACUCCAGGUCUGGCUACGACUAUGAGUCCGAUGACGACUCCGGGUUCGAUCGCAACACGGAGUCUGACGGCGACUCCAGCUUCAACUCCGACUCAAAGUCUAACAGCGACUCUGAGUUCGACUACAACUCAAAAGUCCGACUACAUUGCGAGCCCUCCGACGACUACAGGCGGCUCGUCGAUGAUUUCUUGGACUAUGUUGCGGGCACGCCGACGACCACGGUCGACUUGCCGACGACUCUGUUGACUACGGGCAGCUCGUCGACGACUUCAACUACGUUGCAAGCUCGCCGACGACUACGGGCGGCUCGGCAAUGACUUUGACUACUUUCCUCGACUACUUCGCUCGGCAACACAUUGAUGACUACUUCGUCAUGACGCUCGCCGACGACUUCUCCGAGUACGUCACGGCGCUUGCCGACUACUACGGGCAGCUCGCCGACGACUACUCCGACCACAUCGCGACGCUCGCUGACGACUACUACUCGUCUCGACUACAAGGCUAGUCGAGGGCGGAUUACAACUCGUCUUGACUAAAAAAUUAGUUGGGGCAAACUUCACAUCAUCGACAACUAGUCAGAAUCUCCUCCGACUAGUCGAUUUCGUUAACAACCAUUACGGCUUCAUCAACGACCAUCACGGCUUCGUCAAACAAUCAUCCACGAAUCAAGCUAAGUCACUUUUCUAAAUUAUUUUCCGGCUUACUUUCCGCUUGCGCGCAACACGCGCUCUACUCGCUGGAAACUCUCGCGCACAACAUGCGCUCUAUUCGCCGGAGGGCAGCAAACUCUUUCGCGCUACCUCGCUCUCUUUUUAUCGCAACAGUGACUAUUCCUUUUUGUCUUCUCUUAUGGUCACUACUCUUCUCGAGCAGAACAUGCCUUAACUCGUGAAAGCCUCAGGCGCAUCUGUCACGCCUAAGCCUAUACGUGUAUACGAGACAAAGGUCUCACACACGCAGUGGCAACGGCUACCCAGAGACUGAGAGUCUAAGCAUAACAGGCUAACUACUCAGGAAGAGUAUGACUAAAACAAGAGCUUGACUCGCAAUCAUGCAGUCUCUUUCUUGUCGCAGCAGCGACUACUCUCACUUUUGUCUUCUCUUAAGGUCACUACUCUUCUCGAGCAGAACACGCCUUAACUCGUGAAAGCCUCAGGCGCAUCUGUCACGCCUAAGCCCAUACGCGUAUACGAGACAACGAUCUCACACACGCAGUGGCAACAGCUACCCAGAGACUGAGAGCCUAAUCGUAACAGGCUAACUACUCGGGAAGAAUAUGACCGAAAUAAGAGCAUGACACAACAUUCAUAUUGAUCACUGAAUAAAUUUCAGCAGUUUCAAAAUCCUACAAAAAUGCUACAUAAUGUAUGCAUCUUUUCUUUCAGAUCGAGCUUCAGUGACACUAAGCAUGCCUCCAAUGGCACAGGCUAGUUCCCGAACUCGGGGGCUAAGCACCAAUCAGUACUCGGAAUAUCUCCAGUGGCUCAGCUAGCUCCCAGGCUCGGGGGCUGGAUGCCGCAAAACCACUCGACGUGGCUCCAACGACUUACCUGGCGCACAAGCUCGGGGGCUGGACGCCGCAAGACUACUCGAAUGAUGACCUGAGUGAAGAUUCAAGACCCUCGGGUUGAUUAUUCAAUCAAUCAAAGGCUCGGGGGCUGAUAAGCUACACCCAACAAUUGAUUUUUUCAAGUCAAAAGAGGAAGAUUCAAGAUUUUGACCCUCAGCCUGAUUCUGCGAUUCAACCUAAGGCUCGGGGGCUACUCCAUAUGGAGUGUGACUUUCACCGUCCUCCAUACAUGAAGACUUCAAUAUCAUGUUGAUCAAGACUUUGAGCACACCAUAGCCUCAUGGUGGCUUUGAGAAACAUUGAAAGAUUCAGUCUGACAAAGUACUCGAAGAGCACCAAAACUACCCGGCGAAUAUCUCAAGACUACUCGAAGACUGCUGCAUUCGACUAUGAAGCGCUCGGAGGCUUGUCAGGAAUACAUCCCCACUACCCGCAAGGAAGGAAGAAGUCAUACUCCUACUAGGAUUCCCCUGUAAUCCGACUAGGACUCAUACCGUGUACUCCUACUAGGACUCCUCCUUGUAAUCCGACUAGUACUCUGCCCCCUGGAGUAUAUAAAGGAGGGCAGGGGUACCUAGCUCCGUAGGUCACACCUCAACACCCAAGCGCAGGGCGCAGUAUACAAAUACCCCCAAACAGGACGUAGGGUAUUACGCUACUCCGGCGGCCCGAACCUGUCUAAAUCCGUGUCUUGUGUCCUCGCUUUUACCUUCAAGUUCCAGGUUCGACGAUCUCCCACUACACAUUAUGCUACCUCGAGUACCCCUUGGUAGACGGCCGGUAUAAAUCACCGACACCUGGGAGGGAGAUUGGAAUUUGGAGAAUUCUUGUGUGAGACCACGGGGCACCGUCUCAUACACCAGCCUUGCCGUGCUGAAAUCAGCGAGCUUCACGCCGUAGCCUUUGGUGUCGCAGCAGUCGAGGAGCACGUUCCGGCCCUUGACAUUCUUGUGCACGACGGCCACCCUCCUGAGCCCACACACCGAGCUCACUGUAACACCCAAAAAUUCCAUCAUAAACACAAUAUAAGCAACAUGUGGUCUAGCUCUUUAUUUUCUAAGAACUAAAUAAAAUACUAAUAUUAAAUUAUGGCCUUUAAAAAAUUAAAGAACACUUGAAAUAACUUUUUAGAGACAAGUGCUUGUUAGGGUUCUUCGUUUGCUUCCCUUUUUGUUUGCGUUUGCAAAAUUUUACAUGAUGUCACUGUCCUCGUCAUCCUCGGCACUGGCAGAGCGUCGUUGGGGCAUAGAGGACCAUGGCCCCCUUGCUUGGUAAAAAAAAAAAUCAGAAGAGCAAAGUGCAAAGGCCCAGUCCAAGUGCAGUCCGUGGCUUGUUGACACGUAAUUAAUAAAUCAAUAAAUCCCACAAGGCAUUAACCACAUAGGCACAAACAAACAUUGAAAACAAUAGAAAAAAAUAUUGAGCCAAUUCCAGCAACUAGCGGAUGAGACAACGACCUCAGCCGUCACCCCUUCGCAAGAUGGACACUUCCUUCACAGUUGACUCAUUGAGGUUGUCAUCGUCGGCCGUCGCCACUUGCCAGGGCUGGCGCCUUGCAGCCUGGUGCUAGAACUUUCAUCCUGAAGGUAUGGUUGCUUUUCUUCCUUCUUUUGUUUAUCUUCUAAGUUCUUAACACAUUAGAUCCGUAGAGUAUGCAGGCUACUAUUGCCUAAUUAGCUGGUAAUUUGUUGUCAAUUGAGAUCUAUUAUUAUUUCUUUUGAGAAAAUUGAGAUGUUUCGCUAGUUUAUUUGGCCCUAAUCCCCAAAUUGCAGAGUUUAUAUGAUUUUGUGGUUUUAUAACUAAAUACAGUUCUGCAAUUUGGUAGGUAGGUACAAAUAGGUAAAGAGAAGCCUAUUGAUUCAUUUUUCAAAAGCAAAAGAGAUGAACCAAUUGUGGACUGUCGAGCAGCCUCUGGUUCAAGCCAACCAAUUUCCCACCUAAAAUUUGCUUCACGCUCCGCCACGGAUCCUCGAUCCUCGGUGAGAAUUUUUAACCUCUUUGAAAAAGUCGGCGAUUGCGAAUCUCCACCUGCAUUUUUGAAAUGGAUUCUGAAAUAUUGUGGCGAAAUGUCCUUUUCUAAGUGGGCCUAGACCCAUAAAUUCGCGAGCUCCGCCCCACUCACCACUGCCACACCAUAACUCCGCCUGUGCUGUCGUGGCCACUUGCUCGCCUCGUCGCUCUCGCGCGUCACAGUAGCAGCAGUUCUUGAGGCGGUACGCUGCCUGCAAGCUAUGCGAGCCCGUCAGCUCGUCAGGCACAGUGCCUGCCUGCCGCUACGCUCCACCUCCCCACCACCACGCUGCAAGCCGACGCCCGCAAGCUGCCGCUCGGCCACAGCGCCGCCGCUGAUGCCGUGCCUUUGAGCAGCCUUUUAUUUGUUUUUUAGCUUUUUUUUUUUUGAAGAUUCUCACACAUGUGGAAAUAUUUCAAAAUCUGGAUCCAUAGCUUGACGUCAUCCACACUGGCACCAAGCUUACACGUCUUGGCACCAGCCGUUCUGGUGCCUAGGUCGUUGCGCAGCUGUUGAUGGGGCAGCUGACGUGACGGUGGCUUGGCGCCUGGCUGUUUAACACACGGCCUCCGCCUCUAACUUCUCCCACCGGCUGCCGCCUCCUAGCCACCGGGUGGAGUGGGCGCAGUGCGCCGAUGACACCCCACUUCGCCUCCGCGCCCUUUCUCGUUGGAAGGUAAAUUUCUUAUUAGUUUUAAUAGUGAGAUAUAUAGAAUAGGUAGGUAGAAUUGUUAAAUAGAAUUUAGAUAGAUAGAUAGAACAGUUAGAUAGUUAGUUUGAAAGAUAAUUAGAUAGAAUUUUCAUCUUAUGUAAUUUUCUUUUUAGAUAUGUAUAGUUAGAUAGAUGGUUAGAUAGAUAGUUAGAUAGAAUUUUAUUCAUAUGUAAUUUUUUUACUUAGAUAGAUAGAAUAGUUAGAUAGAUAGUAAUAUAGUUAGUAUGAUAGUUAGUUAAAUAGUUAUAUACUAAAUUACAUAGUAACUCGACAUAGUUAGUAGUAUUUAGUAGUUUGUAGUUAAUAGAUAGUAUCUAUUUAGUUAGUUGGUACGUAAUGAAGAUUUUAUACUUAGAAUGCUUCAUUUAUAUUGGACUAAAUGAAUUGUUCUGUUUAUAACCUUGAUGGACAACGUAGUGAGCAUAUAUCAUGAAGGUACCGUGGAAAGAGAUGACUAUGGAUGUGUUAAGUUUGUUAACAUGCAAAGCAUGGUUGUGUUAUUAAUUGAGAAGCCCUCAUUUAGUGAGUUGGUUGCAAGUGCUCGGGAGGAGCUAUAUUGCCAUGAAGAUGAUGACAUCACAGUGGAGGGCGUACUUCACCUAGGUUCCCCUUUCAACAUCCAAAGGAAGAUGAUCCCAAUUUGGUGCGCAGAUAAGUGGGAGAAUGAUGUGAGAUCGGUUAUGAAGCGCCAGUUCUAAAGUUUGGACGUGGUUGUGCGUCGGGUGUUAGUUGAUCCCAUCCGUCAUCGGUUUUCCCGACCAAUGGGUCAGCAUGCACACUUCGACCCUUUCGUCCCAGAACCUAUUAUGGAUGUGGAGGUUGCACAUAUGGUUCCCGAUGCUGAAUCUGCCCCCAAUGAGGUAGUUGGAGCUGCUUGUCGGACACUUGAUGCUGUGGUAAAUCCUCCUCAUGAGAUCCCUUUGACACAAAAUCAUCCGAGUAAGUGUCUUAUCGGCACGCUUCUUGGGAGCUAACCUCCUUCAUUACAUCAAUUUUUUUCUUCCUUUCUCAUAUUUCUACCAAUGUUUUAGGAGACAUUCCUAAAAAUGUGGAUGUGCCCCCAGUUGCUACUCAACUGCACUAUGGAGAUGGAUUACGUGGCUCUAAUAGUGUUGGAAUUAUGAAUGAUUCGGAUGCAUAUGAGAUGGGAAUGUAUCUUGAUUCUGAUAAUGAUCGCCCUGUUGGAGAGAUGACAGAGAGUGAUGUUGAGAUGUUCAGGCGUUGCUUUCCUGACCGUCGUGAUCCAAGAGUUCACGAGUUCAGUGAUCUUUCUCAUUCUAAUCAUGCGUGUGCAGAGGGAAGUGAUGAUGAGCUCCUAGAAGCUCCUGAGGCUGGACCUAGCAUAGUGAUUGAGGAGGGUAGCGCAUUGAUGAGGUGGUUACAGGCAUUUGCAGUGAUAAAGAAGAGACCUUACAAGGUCUUGCAUUCAUAUGCAGAGCACCGUUACACAGUUGUGUGUGACAAGUAACAGUGCCCAUGGAUGAUUUGUGCAAGGAAGAAAAAGAUCACCGAGAAGUGAAAGAUCACAAAAGUUGUCAGGCCACACAAUUGUGCUAACACUAGAACAUUGAGAAGUGGAAGAUCACUGGAUAGAAUGGUAAGUCAAGUACCUUACUUUCCCAUGUUAAAUUACUUAGUGAUUUACUGGUUUACUUAUUAUGGACUUUGUGGACUCUUGUUAUGAACUAUUUUGGACUUUCAUUACGGACUUCGUGGACUUUCAUUAUGGACUUUGUGGACGUUCAUUAUGAACUAUUGUGCAUAUAGACAUUCAUUAUGAAAUUUUGUGUGUAUGAACUAUUGUGGACUUUCAUUAUGAAUUUUGUGGACGUUUAUUAUGAACUAUUGUGUAUAUGGACUUUCAUUGUGAAUUAUUAUGUGUAUGAACUAUUGUGGACUUUUAUUACGAACUAUUGUAGAUUUUCAUUAUGAAUGUGGCAUCUGUUUGAACAUGUUGUAUUCAGGUAGAAUAUUCAUCUCAUAAUUGUGUAUGAAUUACAUCCAAAAAUAGGGGAAAUUCUGCUGAAAUUUCACAAAAAUAUAGAAUUGCAUUUCGCUAACCAAAAUUCUUCGGCAUGUAAGCUUAUGUGCAUUAGGCAUGUGCUCACAUAUUUCUCGCAAAGAAAAUGACAUCGCACAUACUACUAUGGUGCCCAUACUUAAAGUGCAUUACAUGACAACACAAUGAAAAGUCCAACAAUAGACAACAUGUUUCAUAAAUAAACUAUCAGACUACAAGUAAUGGAGACUACUGAGUGCAACGAGUCCACUUUCCCUUCCUCAAUCGUAGCUUUCGCUUGGUGUGCAUGCUCAAGCUUCUUCUCCCUCUCCUACCUAUCCGCAGCAACACGCCUCCUUUCUUCCUCUUCCUUGUGCUCCUUUUAUGCGGCCUCCUUUCUGAGCCUCUUCUCCAUCAUCUCCUUCCUCUCUGCCUCCAACCGCAAUAUUUCCUGCAUCUCCUCCUUGUCUUCAGGCUUGAUCUCGGUGUUGAUCCAGUGCUCAAAAUCACAGAGCGGUGCAGGGGUCUACAACAAAUGCAAUUGUUAUAAAAUAAAAAAAAUCAUGUAAAAUAAUUAUAACCCAACAAUAAUUCCUCACCAUCUUGUUAAUGCGGCGUUGACGAAGUGUAGGCUCAAACUUAAAAUUAGAACACAUCCAGUACCUCUACCUAUACGUGUCAUCUGCAUCGGACUUGGCUACCCUGCAAGGAUCGCUGCAAAAGCACAUGGGUACUGGAACACCACUAGGCAGAGGUAAUGGGUCGAAGCUAUUUCGGGUCAUACGGGCAUAACUACAAUUUAGUCAUUUUCAUUCUAAGAACCGAAAGCGGUUAACAUUAAACCUACACCUAGGGUUUCCCAUUUGAUCCACAAGAAUGAAUCCAUAACAUAACUACGUGCGCUGAGGUUACCAUAGUUUCGUAGCUUUUCCACGCCUUGGCAUCCUAUGGUUGCACGAAACGCUAUGUUCAAAAAUCCGACUAAUAUAUAGCGAAUCGAUGUGAAAAAAACUAGGAGGGAGUGGAUAUCUUGCUCUCGAAGAUCCAUGGAUCAAAUCGAAGUUUCUAAGAUUUAAUAUGCCGAUUCGUGGUGUAAGGUGAAGUGGGGAGAGAAAAAACCUGAGAGGGAGGAGAAAGAGGAGGAAGAAGCUUCAGGCAAGAAGAAAGGGUGCGGCCUUAUGUUAGCAGGUUUGGCUCCAGGCUAGCUGGCACGAGGCCACCACUACAUCAGCUGCCCCAUCAGCAGCUGUUGAGCGACCUAGGCGCCGGGAUAGCCGGCGUCGAGAUGCGUAAGCUUGGCACCAGCGUGGAUGGCGCCAAGGUAUGGGUCCAGAUUUUGAAAUGUUUCCGUCAGAGGCGUAUUUGUAGAGGCGUAUUUGUAAGAAUCUUUCAGAAAAAAGGCUAACAAAAAAGUCAGAUGUUUGAGCCGCUCCACAGCCCUUACCAUCACCGACUAUAAAAGGCAGGGUCGAGCGCCUCUCCGCAACCGAACUUGCCGAGCCGCCAGCUCCGCUGCUCAACUUCUUGCAAUUCUGCCUGCAAUUUAUUUAUGGAGUGAUCGAGAAAUUGAGCGAGUUUGGAGGCUAGUGGUUGAUACGUUUUUUGCAUCGAAUUGACAUUGAAUUAGUUUUCUUUGAACUGCCAUUUCAAAUGUUUUUUCUAUAGUUGCAUGUGAAACACAUCUAUUGCCGCUAAUCAAUCUGUCGACGCUUUUUUGGGCCAACACAUGAAUGUACGCGAUUGUGCGGCGCGUGGAGGGGCUCACUGUAGCACGUCGAUGCAUGCCGGUUUGACCACUUACGGUCUGACCGGUUGUUAGGCCACCUAGUAGUAGAUUGGAAAAUUUAGGGAAAAAGAAUAAAGGAAAAGACAAUAAAUAGUAGCUUGGUUUUUUUCGAUUAGGUUGGAUGCCCUCAAUCGGUCGAAUCCCUUUAUAUUUCUAAGGAGGGAAGGUCUUUAUAUUUAUAGGAAGGGAAGGUCUUACCCAUGAGGGAGUCAAAAUCCUAACAAAAAUCGUGCUAAAUUAAAAGUUCUACUCGGUUUACACUGAGCCAGAUAGGUCAGACCAGCCUGGGCAACCUGUCGGACCAGUCUGCCCGGGUGUAUAUCUUGCGAAGGUCGUAUCUCUCUCAUCCGAACUUCAAAUCGGACGUUCUAUAUAAGAAUCUUGAUCUACUCAACAAGAUACAGGAAAUGGUAGAGUCCAAUCUUCAUUUGGAGCACUUUGAUCCAACCAGUCCGACUGGUGGCAUCAGGACUGGUGGCAUCAGCCGGUCUGACCUGUCUGUACGGGGGUGCUGAUCUUUCCGAGGGCAUAACUCUCAGGUCCGAAAUCCAAAUCGGACAUUCCAUAUAUGCAUUUUGAUCGCCUUGAUGAGAGAUAUGUCCUGGUGAAGUCCAAUUUGCUUUUUGAGAACUUUCCCAAACCGGUUUGACCGCUUGGAAGACCGGUCUAAACAUGUCUGAUCAGAUCUAUCCAGACCUGCCACUUUUCGGCAUCAACACGAGUUUUCCAGUAGUGACAACACAACAACUGUAUUACCCACGGCAUGAAAAUAACACAUAACAAGAAGCUAUGUACCACUAAGCAACACAAUCAAUACUCUUGCAAAGGGGGCGAAAUACCAAAGGAAAUGGCGAUGAAAUUGAAACCCCGCCAACAGAGCUUUGCUUGAGCACGUACAGCUCUUUAUUACAGAAACAGUAUAGGAUACGAUCGAUGUGCCAUCAAGCAUAAAGCAGCAACACUUAUUUCUUUUCUCAAAGCAAGCAAGAACAGAACUGGUCAUCAAAGAAGUUGACGGGAUUCAUUCAUUCAGAUGGCCGCCGCGGUCGGUGUGCAGCGGCGCUUGCAGAAGUUAGUGAGGACGUCGACGCACCGGUAGACAGGCGCCUCGGUGGUGCUGGUGUACUUGACGCAGUUCAUGCACGCUGGGUGGCAACCCUGGAACGAGAUGUCCAGGCAACUGCAAUCUGGUGGAUUCUUCCUGUUGCAGAAGCCGCACUGGUUGCAGC
rnacentral:lncRNA from 1 species